rnacentral:RNase_P_RNA from 1 species
CGGGUCGGCCGGGCAGUCGCCGGGAGUUUUACUCCGGGAGGAAAGUCCGGGCACCAAAGGGCACGGCGCUGGCUAAUUACCAGGGGAGGCAACUUCCGGAAAGCGCAACAGAGAGGAGACCGCCACCAUAUGGUGGUAAGGGUGAAAGGGUGAGGUAAGAGCUCACCGGCCGCCCGCGUGAGCGGGCGGGCCAGGCAAGCCCCGUCGGGUGCAAGAUCUAAUAGUGGAACCAUAGGGCUGCCCGUCCUGUUCCUGGGUUGAUCGCUUGAGCGCACUUGGAGUAAUCCUGCGCCUAGAUGAAUGACUGCUACCUUAAACCUUUAAGGCACAGAACCCGGCUUAUAGGCUGACCCGGUAU